CCCGGAGACGCUCCUCGCUCGGGAGAGUCUCGUGCUCCGGUGUGGGAGCCGCGUCCGGAACGCCCGGGGGAGGGGGGUGGGAUGUGCAGGUGUGAGCGCACCUGGAUGCCGCCGUGCCCCGGGGUACGCGCUCGCAGCGGUGGCAGGUGAGGAGAGGCAGACAGGCCGCAGGGACUUUGAACCUUGGGCACACAGGGGACGGUGGCAGCAAGGUUAAAACACAUCGCAGAGAGGCAGGAAGAGCCAGGCGACAAAGCAGAGCUGUCACCGGUAUCGCGAGGGACCUGUGCCAGCCCCUGUGUUCAUCAAUGACCUAGAAAAGGCGGGAGUGGUAACAUGAGAGAGCCCGCUCAGUGCAUUUCAGUGAGGCUCUGCUGGCUCCCAUCUCAGACCUGUGACACCAAGAUCCGUAUAGGUGCUGCUGCACGGGGAUGCUACAGCCAAGGAUGGAGUUAAGUGCUCCUGGCAAAGCUCUGGGGUCACCCAGAGUGUGGUUUAGGGACAGAGUGGAUGGGACAGGCAAGGGAUGCUCUGCCGCACAGCAGAGCCCUUAGGCUUCUUACUCUGGUCCUCUGUGCCAGCCAGCAGAGCCAGGAUGGGUGCCAGGUGAGGAGUCCUAGCUGGUGCCUUGGCUUGGCCAUAGUGGUAGUUGCAGCAGGAGAGGGGGAUUGACAAAGCCAAGGGAUUCAGGGUGUGGAAAUCUCCACCUGCUUCUUUCAUUGAGGGUAGCAGUACUGGAGCCAAGCAUGGUUCUGGGGGGUUCUUGCUGCUCUGAUACUGGGGAGAGAGAAGGAUCAAAAAGCCAGGAAGUGGAAUGUUAGCUAUCUUGGGGUAGAAGGAAGAUGUUAAGCAGGGAAAAGACAGGCUGCAAAGAGAGGUAGGAAAGAGUAGAUGUGCCUGAUUGGGGACAGGUUAGUAAAAUAAAACAGAGACCACCUGAGGACAUGGCUGUGGAGGAAAGGAAGAACCCCUGCAUGCAGGGGGGAGAGCGCUGCAGUACAGGGAAAAUGAUAAUGUUUCCUUUUUCUUCCAGAUAACCAAAAUAAAUAAUCAGAAGAAAGUAGGAGGCAGGAAAAACAGCAUCGUUGGGAAGAGAGAGGACUUUGCUCAGUUUCACACCAGUUUCAGACAACAUGUGGGCUCUGGUUCCAGUCCUCCCUGGCUAAUCUCAGCCACUUUUCUAUUACAUAUCACUCAUUGCUCUCUAGAGGCACUGUGUGGAAGAAACUAUUUGAGGACACUGUAAGCCUGGCAGCACUGAGAAGCCCUUAGUUCUUCAAUAUUGAUAUACCUGAAGCUAUCAACAUUUGGUUUGUUUUAAAGCAGACACUUGAAGUCAUUUCCAUGUUUAUGAACACAAACAGGCUCACUGUCAUCCCAUGGCUAUGGACACCCGAGUAUGAAGAAGAUCCUUUUUUAAGGAACAGGACAAAUGGAAAGACAGACAUUAGUGACCUCUGAGACUAAAAACUUCAAAAUUUUAAAUCAAACUGUUCAAUUCUCUGAUGUUUCCUCACAAAUUAUGCAUUUUAUUUCCUUCCCCAACAUGAGAUACCUCACUUCUUUAUUCCCAUCAAAGCUUUUUUCCCCCAGCUUUGAGUCCAUGACUGUUAUUACCCCUUUUUUCCAGCCCCUCUGGCAACUGCCAUUACCAUAUUUGCCCCUUUUUUUGGAAUAUUUUACAUACCACAUUCAAGGCAAGGAGAAUGUCACAUAUUCCCAACCAUAUUCACUAAGACAUUUUUUCUAAAGAAAUUAAAGACCCCUGAAUUCACUCUCCAGGCUUCUCCUGAAGUUUGUUCUUCAUUUGCUUUGCAAGACGCAAAACUUCACCCCUGAUUCCCCUUCAUAGUAAUACAAACUAACACAUUCAACAGGAUGUUUUCAAAUUUGAAUGUGUCAAAGCCUUUGAUAAAGCAGAUUUUCACUUCAUUUUUCUUAAUAAACCCAUAAAUAGCUUGCUGCUGCUUAGUAGAUCACUUAACACAUGUCUAGGCAUACUAAUAGCAAUCCCCACACAAGACUCCAGACAAAAUUCAAUUUUAGCAUCUUCGGCCCUAUCUUUCCAGAGAUGUUACUUUCUCAGCAUGCUUCUAACUCACCAAGGUGUCAGCCCUCUUCCUAAAUAAGCUUUUGCCAGGCAGAACAAUCUCUUCUGGCUGUGGUCUCCCAGUUCCUCUUUCAAAGACCUUUGCAGGAGAAUCUGCUUGGCUCCAGAAGGAGAUAACCGAGAGUUAACCAUCCUCCUUGAUUUUUCUGGUAACAUGAAGUGUACAUACCUCAUC